rnacentral:rRNA from 1 species
GACGAACGCUGGCGGCGUGCCUAAUACAUGCAAGUCGAGCGGAACCAUUGGAGCUUGCUCCUUUGGUUUAGCGGCGGACGGGUGAGUAACACGUGGGCAACCUGCCCUGCAGAUCGGGAUAACUCCGGGAAACCGGUGCUAAUACCGAAUAGUUUGCGGCCUCUCAUGAGGCUGCACGGAAAGACGGUUUCGGCUGUCACUGCAGGAUGGGCCCGCGGCGCAUUAGCUAGUUGGUGAGGUAACGGCUCACCAAGGCCACGAUGCGUAGCCGACCUGAGAGGGUGAUCGGCCACACUGGGACUGAGACACGGCCCAGACUCCUACGGGAGGCAGCAGUAGGGAAUCUUCCGCAAUGGACGAAAGUCUGACGGAGCAACGCCGCGUGAGUGAAGAAGGUUUUCGGAUCGUAAAACUCUGUUGUGAGGGAAGAACAAGUACCAAGUAACUACUGGUACCUUGACGGUACCUCACCAGAAAGC